rnacentral:other from 1 species
GGUAACCUGAGAUGUGCGAUACUCCUGCUAUUUUGAACCUACAUUUACUUUAAACGGGAUUCCUAUAUUAUCGCAUGGCUGUCAAGCCCCCACUCCAAUGUCAUGUGUAACAUGACAUUGUCACAUGAAAUGUGACAGGGAGGAUUGGAGGGGAAGGCAAAAGUGUGAUUGCGGUCGCCCACCUAGCAUUGCUAGGAGUCAAAGUGCAGGAACCGGCAUUUUGGGGAUAUA